UUCACACUGUCAAGAAAAGCUUCUAUCGAGUUUAAAGGCGCCCGUACCGUAAACCGACACAGGUGGGUGAGGAGAGUAUCCUAAGGCCAGCGAGAGAACUAUUGUUAAGGAACUCGGCAAAAUGACCCCGUAACUUAGGGAGAAGGGGUGCCUGUCUAUGACAGGCCGCAGAGAAUAGGCCCAAGCGACUGUUUACCAAAAACACAGGUUUCUGCUAAGUCGCAAGACGAUGUAUAGGAGCUGACGCCUGCCCGGUGCUGGAAGGUUAAGGGGAUCUGUUAGAGCAAUCGAAGCAGUGAACUUAAGCCCCAGUAAACGGCGGCCGUAACAAUAACGGUCCUAAGGUAGCGAAAUUCCUUGUCGGGUAAGUUCCGACCCGCACGAAAGGCGUAACGAUUUGGGCACUGUCUCAACAAUAGACUCGGUGAAAUUGUAAUCCCGGUGAAGAUGCCGGGUACCUGCGACAGGACGGAAAGACCCCAUGGAGCUUUACUGUAGCUUGACGUUGGGUCUUGGUACUACAUGUACAGGAUAGGUGGGAGACUAUGAAGCAUGGACGCCAGUCUGUGUGGAGUCAUCCUUGGGAUACCACCCUUGUAGUACUGGGAUCCUAACCAUAGGCCUUGAAUCAGGUCUUGGAACACCGUCAGGUGGGCAGUUUGACUGGGGCGGUCGCCUCCUAAAAAGUAACGGAGGCGCUCAAAGGUUUCCUCAGCACGGUCGGAAAUCGUGCGAAGAGUGUAAAGGCAAAAGGAAGCUUGAUUGCAAGACAUACAGGUCGAGCAAGGACGAAAGUCGGACUUAGUGAUCCGGUGGUACCGCAUGGAAGGGCCAUCGCUCAACGGAUAAAAGCUACCCUGGGGAUAACAGGCUUAUCUCCCCCAAGAGUCCACAUCGACGGGGAGGUUUGGCACCUCGAUGUCGGCUCAUCACAUCCUGGGGCUGUGGUAGGUCCCAAGGGUUGGGCUGUUCGCCCAUUAAAGUGGUACGCGAGCUGGGUUCAGAACGUCGUGAGACAGUUCGGUCCCUAUCCGUCGCAGGCGUAGGAAAUUUGAGAAGACCUGUCCUUAGUACGAGAGGACCGGGAUGGACGUACCUCUGGUGUACCAGUUGUUCUGCCAAGGGCAUGGCUGGGUAGCUAUGUACGGAAUGGAUAAGCGCUGAAAGCAUCUAAGCGCGAAGCCAACUUCAAGAUAAGAUUUCCCACCGUAAGGGUAAGACCCCAGGAAGACUACCUGGUUGAUAGGUCGAAGGUGUAAGUGCAGUAAUGUAUUUAGCUUAUCGAUACUAAUAGGUCGAGGACUUGACC
rnacentral:rRNA from 1 species